ACCCGCUGAACUUAAGCAUAUCAAUAAGCGGAGGAAAAGAAACUAACAAGGAUUCCCCUAGUAACUGCGAGUGAAGCGGGAAAAGCUCAAAUUUUGAAAAUCUGGCGGUCUUUUUGACCGUCCGAGUUGUAGUCUAGAGAAGUGCUACCUGUGCUGGACCAUGUAAAAGUCUUCUGGAAUGGAGCAUCAUAGAGGGUGAGAAUCCCGUCUUUGACAUGGACUGCCUGUACGUCAAGGUGUGCUCUCGAAGAGUCGAGUUGUUUGGGAAUGCAGCUCAAAAUGGGUGGUAAAUGCCAUCUAAAGCUAAAUAUUGGCGAGAGACCGAUAGCGAACAAGUACCGUGAGGGAAAGAUGAAAAGAACUUUGGAAAGAGAGUUAAACAGUACGUGAAAUUGCUGAAAGGGAAACGCUUGAAGUCAGUUGCGUUGGCUAGAAAUCAGCCUUGCUUUUGCUCGGUGUACUUUCUUGUCGACGGGUCAGCAUCAGUUUUGACCAUUGGAAAAGGACAUUUGGGAAUGUGGCAUCCUUGGAUGUGUUAUAGCCCAUUUGUCGCAUACGGUGGUUGGGAUUGAGGAAUUCAGCACGCCCGCGAGGGCAGGGUCUUCUGACCACUUGACGUGCUUAGGAUGCUGGCAUAAUGGCUUUAAUCGACCCGUCUUGAAACACGG
rnacentral:rRNA from 1 species